rnacentral:misc_RNA from 1 species
GAUGAAGAACGUAGCGAAAUGCGAUAAGUAGUGUGAAUUGCAGAAUUCAGUGAAUCAUCGAAUCUUUGAACGCACAUUGCGCCCCUUGGUAUUCCAUGGGGCAUGCCUGUUCGAGCGUCAUUUGUACCUUCAAGCUUUGCUUGGUGUUGGGUGUUUGUCUCGCCUUUGCGUGUAGACUCGCCUUAAAAUAAUUGGCAGCCGGCGUAUUGAUUUCGGAGCGCAGUACAUCUCGCGCUUUGCACUCAUGACGACAGCGUCCAAAAGUACAUUUUACACUCUUGACCUCGGAUCAGGUAGGGAUACCCGCUGAACUUAAGCAUAUCAAUAAGCGGAGGA